rnacentral:rRNA from 1 species
CCUACGGGGGGCUGCAGUGGGGAAUUUUGGACAAUGGGGGCAACCCUGAUCCAGCCAUUCCGCGUGAGUGAAGAAGGCCUUCGGGUUGUAAAGCUCUUUUGUCCGGAGCGAAACGGGCGGCCCUAAUACGGUAGUCUACUGACGGUACCGGAAGAAUAAGCACCGGCCAACUACGUGCCAGCAGCCGCGGUAAUACGUAGGGUGCGAGCGUUAAUCGGAAUUACGGGGGGGAAAUUGUGAGCCAGCGGUGAAAUCCCCGGGCUCAACCUGGGAAUGGCAGUUGGGACUGCAAGGCUGGAGUGUGGCAGAGGGGACUAGAAUUCCUGGUGUAGCAGUGAAAUGCGUAGAUAUCAGGAGGAAUACCGAUGGCGAAGGCAGGUCCCUGGGUUAACACUGACGCUCAUGCACGAAAGCGUGGGGAGCAAACAGGAUUAGAUACCCCUGUAGUC